GGGGCUAUCUGCAGUCGAGCGACAGACGAGGAGCUUGCUCCUCUGACGUUAGCGGCGGACGGGUGAGUAACACGUGGAUAACCUACCUAUAAGACUGGGAUAACUUCGGGAAACCGGAGCUAAUACCGGAUAAUAUAUUGAACCGCAUGGUUCAAUAGUGAAAGACGGUUUUGCUGUCACUUAUAGAUGGAUCCGCGCCGCAUUAGCUAGUUGGUAAGGUAACGGCUUACCAAGGCAACGAUGCGUAGCCGACCUGAGAGGGUGAUCGGCCACACUGGAACUGAGACACGGUCCAGACUCCUACGGGAGGCAGCAGUAGGGAAUCUUCCGCAAUGGGCGAAAGCCUGACGGAGCAACGCCGCGUGAGUGAUGAAGGUCUUCGGAUCGUAAAACUCUGUUAUUAGGGAAGAACAAAUGUGUAAGUAACUAUGCACGUCUUGACGGUACCUAAUCAGAAAGCCACGGCUAACUACGUGC
rnacentral:rRNA from 1 species